AUUGAACGCUGGCGGCAUGCCUUACACAUGCAAGUCGAACGGCAGCACGGGGCAACCUGGUGGCGAGUGGCGAACGGGUGAGUAAUGCAUCGGAACGUACCUUUCAGUGGGGGAUAACGUAGCGAAAGUUACGCUAAUACCGCAUAUUCUGUGAGCAGGAAAGCAGGGGAUCGCAAGACCUUGCGCUGAUUGAGCGGCCGAUGUCAGAUUAGCUAGUUGGUGAGGUAAAGGCUCACCAAGGCGACGAUCUGUAGCGGGUCUGAGAGGAUGAUCCGCCAGACUGGAACUGAGACACGGUCCAGACUCCGACGGGAGGCAGCAGUGGGGAAUUUUGGACAAUGGGGGCAACCCUGAUCCAGCCAUGCCGCGUGAGUGAAGAAGGCCUUCGGGUUGUAAAGCUCUUUCGGCCGGGAAGAAAUCGCACGGGCUAAUACCCUGUGUGGAUGACGGUACCGGAAUAAGAAGCACCGGCUAACUACGUGCCAGCCGCCGCAGAAA
rnacentral:rRNA from 1 species